AGCUGCUAGCCGGGAUCCAACCAGCGAUUUUCUGCAUGUAAAGCAGACGUGAUAACCACUACACCACAGGACC
rnacentral:tRNA from 1 species